rnacentral:rRNA from 1 species
AGAGUUUGAUCAUGGCUCAGAUUGAACGCUGGCGGCAGGCCUAACACAUGCAAGUCGAACGGUAACAGGAAGCAGCUUGCUGCUUCGCUGACGAGUGGCGGACGGGUGAGUAAUGUCUGGGAAGCUGCCUGAUGGAGGGGGAUAACUACUGGAAACGGUAGCUAAUACCGCAUAAUGUCGCAAGACCAAAGAGGGGGACCUUCGGGCCUCUUGCCAUCGGAUGUGCCCAGAUGGGAUUAGCUUGUUGGUGGGGUAACGGCUCACCAAGGCGACGAUCCCUAGCUGGUCUGAGAGGAUGACCAGCCACACUGGAACUGAGACACGGUCCAGACUCCUACGGGAGGCAGCAGUGGGGAAUAUUGCACAAUGGGCGCAAGCCUGAUGCAGCCAUGCCGCGUGUAUGAAGAAGGCCUUCGGGUUGUAAAGUACUUUCAGCGGGGAGGAAUGGAGUAAAGUUAAUACCUUUGCUCAUUGACGUUACCCGCAGAAGAAGCACCGGCUAACUCCGUGCCAGCAGCCGCGGUAAUACGGAGGGUGCAAGCGUUAAUCGGAAUUACUGGGCGUAAAGCGCACGCAGGCGGUUUGUUAAGUCAGAUGUGAAAUCCCCGGGCUCAACCUGGGAACUGCAUCUGAUACUGGCAAGCUUGAGUCUCGUAGAGGGGGGUAGAAUUCCAGGUGUAGCGGUGAAAUGCGUAGAGAUCUGGAGGAAUACCGGUGGCGAAGGCGGCCCCCUGGACGAAGACUGACGCUCAGGUGCGAAAGCGUGGGGAGCAAACAGGAUUAGAUACCCUGGUAGUCCACGCCGUAAACGAUGUCGACUUGGAGGUUGUGCCCUUGAGGCGUGGCUUCCGGAGCUAACGCGUUAAGUCGACCGCCUGGGGAGUACGGCCGCAAGGUUAAAACUCAAAUGAAUUGACGGGGGCCCGCACAAGCGGUGGAGCAUGUGGUUUAAUUCGAUGCAACGCGAAGAACCUUACCUGGUCUUGACAUCCACGGAAGUUUUCAGAGAUGAGAAUGUGCCUUCGGGAACCGUGAGACAGGUGCUGCAUGGCUGUCGUCAGCUCGUGUUGUGAAAUGUUGGGUUAAGUCCCGCAACGAGCGCAACCCUUAUCCUUUGUUGCCAGCGGUCCGGCCGGGAACUCAAAGGAGACUGCCAGUGAUAAACUGGAGGAAGGUGGGGAUGACGUCAAGUCAUCAUGGCCCUUACGACCAGGGCUACACACGUGCUACAAUGGCGCAUACAAAGAGAAGCGACCUCGCGAGAGCAAGCGGACCUCAUAAAGUGCGUCGUAGUCCGGAUUGGAGUCUGCAACUCGACUCCAUGAAGUCGGAAUCGCUAGUAAUCGUGGAUCAGAAUGCCACGGUGAAUACGUUCCCGGGCCUUGUACACACCGCCCGUCACACCAUGGGAGUGGGUUGCAAAAGAAGUAGGUAGCUUAACCUUCGGGAGGGCGCUUACCACUUUGUGAUUCAUGACUGGGGUGAAGUCGAAACAAGGUAACCGUAGGGGAACCUGCGGUUG